rnacentral:rRNA from 1 species
GUGGCGAACGGGUGAGUAAUACAUCGGAACAUGUCCUGUGAUGGGGGAUAGCCGGAAAGCCGGAUUAAUACCGCAUACGAUCUACGGAUGAAAGCGGGGGACUUCGGGCCUCGCUAUAGGGUUGGCCGAUGCUGAUUAGCUAGUUGGUGGGGUAAAGGCCUACCAAGGCACGAUCAGUAGCUGGUCUGAGAGGACGACCAGCCACACUGGGACUGAGACACGCCCAGACUCCUACGGGAGGCAGCAGUGGGGAAUUUUGGACAAUGGCGGAAAGCCUGAUCCAGCAAUGCCGCGUGUGUGGAAGAAGGCUUCGGGUUGUAAAGACACUUUUCGUCCGGAAAGAAAUCCUUGGUUCUAUAUAAGCCGGGGGAUGACUGUACCGGAAGAAUAAGCACCGGCUAACUACGUGCCAGCAGCCGCGGUAAUACGUAGGGUGCAAGCGUUAAUCGGAAUUACUGGGCGUAAAGCGUGCGCAGGCGGUUUGUUAAGACCGAUGUGAAAUCCCCGGGCUCAACCUGGGAACUGCAUUGGUGACUGGCAAGCUAGAGUAUGGCAGAGGGGGGUAGAAUUCCACGUGUAGCAGUGAAAUGCGUAGAGAUGUGGAGGAAUACCGAUGGCGAAGGCAGCCCCCUGGCCAAUACUGACGCUCAUGCACGAAAGCGUGGGGAGCAAACAGGAUUAGAUACCCUGGUAGUCCACGCCCUAAACGAUGUCAACUAGUUGUUGGGGAUUCAUUUCCUUAGUAACGUAGCUAACGCGUGAAGUUGACCGCCUGGGGAGUACGGUGCGCAAGAUUAAAACUCAAAGGAAUUGACGGGGAGCCACAAGCGGUGGAUGAUGUGGAUUAAUUCGAUGCAACGGCGAAAAACCUUACCUACCCUUGACAUGGUCGGAAUCCUGCUGAGAGGCGGGAGUGCUCGAAAGAGAACCGGGCACAGGUGCUGCAUGGCUGUCGUCAGCUCGUGUCGUGAGAUGUUGGGUUAAGUCCCGCAACGAGCGCAACCCUUGUCCUUAGUUGCACGCAAGAGCACUCUAAGGAGACUGCGGUGACAAACCGGAGGAAGGUGGGGAUGACGUCAAGUCCUCAUGGCCUUAUGGGUAGGGCUUCACACGUCAUACAAUGGUCGGAACAGAGGGUUGCCAACCGCGAGGGGGAGCUAAUCCCAGAAAACCGAUCGUAGUCCGGAUUGCACUCUGCAACUCGAGUGCAUGAAGCUGGAAUCGCUAGUAAUCGCGGAUCAGCAUGCCGGCUGAAUACGUUCCCGGGUCUUGUACACACCGCCCGUCACACCAUGGGAGUGGGUUUUUACCAGAAGUUGCUAGUCUAACCGCAAGAGGACGUCACCACGGUAGGAUUCAUGACUGGGGUGAAGUCGUAACAAGGUAGCC